rnacentral:rRNA from 1 species
CACGCCGUAAACGAUGGAUGCUCGGUGUCGGGGGUAUCGACCCCCUCGGCGCCUUAGGUAACCCGGUAAGCAUCCCGCCUGGGGAGUACGGCCGCAAGGUUGAAACUCAAAGGAAUUGACGGGGGCCCGCACAAGCGGUGGAGCAUGUUGUUUAAUACGUCACUAACCGUAGAACCUUACCAGGGCUUGACAUCUACCGAACCUUGCGGAAACGCAGGGGUGCCCUUCGGGGAGCGGUAAGACAGGUGU